CCUACGGGAGGCAGCAGUGGGGAAUAUUGCACAAUGGGGGAAACCCUGAUCCAGCGACGCCGCGUGAAGGAAGAAGGCCCUCGGCGUGUAAAGCUCUUUCAGCAUGGAAGAAAAUGACGGUACCUGAAGAAGCAGCCCCGGCUAACUACGUGCCAGCAGCCGCGGUAAUACGGAGGGGGCAAGCGUUAUCCGGAUGUACUGGGUGUAAAGGGGGCGUAGUCGGGGUAUCAAGCCAGGAGUGAAAGCCCGGGGCUCAACCCCGGAACUGCUUUUGCAACUGGCUGUCUGGAGUGCAGGAGGGGCAGGCGGAAUUCGUGGUGUAGCGGUGAAAUGCGUAGAUAUCAGGAGGAACACCGGUGGCGAAGGCGGCUUGCUGGACUGCAACUGACGCUGAGGCUCGAAAGCGUGGGGAGCAAACAGGAUUAGAUACCCUAGUAGUC
rnacentral:rRNA from 1 species